rnacentral:lncRNA from 1 species
GUUUGGCAGCGUCGCGGUGCUGAGCGUGGAGCAAUUCGAGGAGCUCGCGGGAGCUCUCGAGGCAUCGAAGAAGCCAUUCUUGUGGGUGAUUCGACCUGAGCUGGUGGUGGGUGGUCACUCGAACGAAUCUUACAAUGGGUUUUGCGAGAGGACCAAGAACCAGGGAUUCAUCGUUUCCUGGGCGCCACAGCUGAGAGUUCUCGCCCAUCCCUCCAUGGGAGCGUUUCUCACGCACUGCGGAUGGAAUUCCGUCCAGGAGAGCAUCGCUAAUGGCAUUCCAAUGCUGGGGUGGCCUUACGGGGGCGAGCAAAGCACCAACUGUAAGUUCAUAGUGGAGGACUGGAAGAUCGGGGUUAGAUUCUCCAAGACUGGUGCAGGGAUUGAUCGAGCGAGGAGAGAUUGAGGCCGGCAUAAAAAAGGUGAUGGAUAGCGAGGAGGGGAAGAAGAUGAAGAAGAGAGUGGAGAACUUGAAGAUCCUUGCGAGGAAAGCUAUGGACAAAGAGAAUAGGAAGUCGUUUCGUGGCCUCCAGGGAUGGCUGGAAGAUCUCAAAGCUAUGACUGGAACAAUGAAAAGUCACACUUGCCCGAAUAAACACAACUUCUGCAAAAGCUGGUCGAUGUGUACGAUCAAAUGGAAAACAACCAACUGGCUGGACAAGAUUCUCGUGGAUAAAGUGAUGGUUCUAUGGUUAUAAGAUCCGCAUGGAUCAAUUCUCAGAGUGGGAAGAGACCUAAGAAAUCAUGAGAUCCUUGCGAAGUUCUAGCGAUUCUUCCUCCCCCAGUAGCAAGAUCCAUGUCGUGGUCGUUCCCCUGCCCGAGCAAGGCCAUAUGUCCCCAAUGAUCCAUCUCUGCAAGCUCAUCGCUCGAGAUCCAAGCUUCACGAUCUCCUUGGUCAAUGUGGACAGCCUCCACGACGAGUUCGUCAAGCACUGGGUGGCGCCGGCGGGGCUGGAAGAUCUGCGCCUCCAUUCCAUCCCAUACUCGUGGCAGCUCCCGCUAGGAGCCGAUGCCCACGCGCAGAGAAAUCUGGCGGAAUGGUUCACGGCAUCCGCGCGAGAGCUCCCAGGCGGCCUCGAGGAUUUGAUCCGCAAGCUCGGGGAGGAGGGUGAUCCGGUCAACUGCAUCAUCUCGGAUUACUUCUGCGAUUGGAGCCAGGAUGUGGCGGAUGUGUUUGGCAUCCCCAGGAUCAUUCUUUGGUCAGGAACCGCGGCAUGGACGAGCUUGGAGUACCACAUUCCAGAGCUUCUGGAGAAGGAUCACAUAUUUCCUAGCAGAGGUACGAAUCUUUGAAUUUACCAUGAACAUUAGUUCUUUUCCUCCUUCCCUUAUUCAAAUUUUGCCUGUUCUUCCCCGAUUCGUGCGCAGGGAGAGCUUCCCCGGAGGAGGUCAAUUCCGUGAUCAUCGACUACGUCCGAGGAGUCAAGCCGCUCCGCCUGGCCGAUGUGCCCGAUUACAUGCAGGGCAACGAGGUGUGGAAGGAGAUUUGCAUCAAGCGCUCCCCCGUCGUGAAGCGCGCGCGAUGGGUCCUCGUCAAUUCCUUCUACGACCUCGAGGCGCCCACCUUCGAUUUCAUGGCCAGGGAGCUCGGGCCUCGAUUCAUCCCCGCGGGGCCACUGUUCUUGCUCGACGAUUCCAGGAAGAAUGUGGUGCUUCGCCCGGAGAACGAGGAUUGCCUUGGCUGGAUGGAUGAGCAGGAGCCUGGAUCGGUGCUCUACAUCUCGNNNNNNNNNNNNNNNNNNNNNNNNNNNNNNNNNNNNNNNNNNNNNNNNNNNNNNNNNNNNNNNNNNNNNNNNNNNNNNNNNNNNNNNNNNNNNNNNNNNNCAUUCUUGUGGGUGAUUCGAUCCGAGCUCGUGGUGGGUGGACACUCAAAUGAAUCCUACGAUGGGUUUUGCGAGAGGACCAAGAACCAAGGAUUCAUCGUUUCCUGGGCGCCACAGCUGAAAGUUCUCGCCCAUCCCUCCAUGGGAGCGUUUCUCACGCACUGCGGAUGGAAUUCCAUCCAGGAGAGCAUCACACACGGGAUUCCAAUGCUGGGGUGGCCUUACGGGGCCGAGCAAAACACCAACUGUAAGUUCAUAGUGGAGGACUGGAAGAUCGGGGUUAGAUUCUCCAAGACCGCGAUGCAGGGAUUGAUCGAGCGAGGAGAGAUCGAGGACGGCAUAAGAAAGGUGAUGGAUAGCGAGGAGGGGAAGGAAAUGAAGGAGAGAGUGGAGAGCUUGAAGAUCCUUGCCAGGAAAGCCAUGGACAAAGAGCAUGGGAAAUCGUUUCGUGGCGUCCAAGCAUUCUUGGAAGAUCUCAAAGGUUUGAAGAUCCAUCGCGAGUGAGUGAAAGAUCCAUUCUUUGAAGAGAACUUUAAGAACUUUGUACCAGUUCUCAAGAUAAUUAAUGUUCCAACUUCUUUGAUCCAUACCGGUUUCUUCCUCACUGAGAUUGCGCAUAAGCAUUGGAAAGCCAGACGCAGAGCGCAGGAGGUGCCAACAUCCCUGCGGCGAUCCUGGCUGCUCGAUCCGACUCCGAGUUGAGAAAUCCGCAGGGAUUACCGCGAGGAGAUGGAAUUCCUCGCGAAUGGCCGCUACCAACUGGGGAUAUCUUUAGCGGAACCCCCUGGGAUCACCACAAUGCCCUCUGAUAGACUCUGAGCAGCGUUUUACUUGACUAGAUGCGAAAGAGCUUCGUUAGAACCUACAUGAAAACGUUUGGAACCAAUAUUAAAGUCGAUGCUUACAAACUUCAGCGCAACAUUGUUGCUCGGAAUCUUUGCGAAGUUGCAUUUGCCCAGACGAGGCAUCAUUUGCGGCCGAAGGGAAGACACCAUUAGCGCGCUGUAGUCAUGCAUUUCUUUAAGAAUCCGGGAUUAGAGAGAUGUCUUAGAGCACUUACUUAAUGUUACAUGCUCUUACCAUGUUUUUCUUCUCUCUUUUGCUCGUCCCAGCCGCCAUGCACGGAAAUAUCUAGAUUUUUCCCAACUUAAAAGAGAUCAAGAUUCAUGUGGCAGUUGUCCAGGCAUGCAAGGGAUCAUUGCCCCAAAUAUCGAUCCAAACUUUACAGUCCCUUAGCUUUUGGAAUUGUGAAACUUAAUCCCAGCGAGGGGAUAAUAAUCCUUGGAACCAUCAUCAGGAUCUUAAUCUCCAGAAAUUGGACAAAACACUAAACUACCAAGGAAUCUUCUCCAGAGACGCCUAGUAGUCUAAACAGUUUACGCACAAAUCUUUCCUUGCCAAAAAAAAAUCAUGGCUUCUACCAAGGUCCAUGUCUUGGCGGUUCCAGUGGCCGCCCAAGGCCAUAUCUCCCCAAUGAUCCAUCUCUGCAAGUUCAUCGCUCAAGAUCCAAGCUUCACAAUCUCCGUGGUCAAUAUCGACAGCCUCCACGACGAAUUCAUCAAGCACUGGGCGGCGCUGGAAGAGAUACGCCUCCAUUCCAUCCCAUUCUCGUGGAAGGUCCCGCGAGGAGUCGACGCCCACGUCGUGCGAAAUCUGGGGGACUGGUUCGCGGCAGCUGCGCGAGAGCUCCCCGGCGGCCUCGAGGAUUUGAUCCGCAAGCUCGGCGAGGAGGGCGAUCCGGUCAGCUGUAUCGUCUCGGAUUACUUCUGCGAUUGGACCCAGGAUGUGGCGGAUGUGUUUGGCAUCCCCAGGGUCAUUCUUUGGCCGGGCACCGCGGCAUGGACGAGCUUGGAGUACCACAUUCCAGAGCUUCUGGAGAAGGAUCACAUAUUUCCUAGCAGAGGUACGAAUCCCCUAUUUUGGCCAUGAACUUUCCCUGUUCUUCCCUUGGAAUUAAACGUUUCCCCUGUUCUUCCCUUGUUUUCCCUGGAAUUACCCUGUUCUUCCCUUGGAAUACCAUCGUUCUUCCCUUUAGCCCUCUUCCCUUUGGAAUUAACAUCCCCUGUUCUUCCCUUGGGCUGAUCGAUGCAUGCGCAGGGAGGGCUUCCGCGGACGAGGCCAAUUCUGUGAUCAUCGAUUACGUCCGAGGAGUCAAGCCGCUCCGCCUGGCCGAUGUGCCCACGUACCUUCAGGGCGACGAGGUGUGGAAGGAGAUUUGCAUCAAGCGCUCCCCCGUCGUGAAGCGCGCGCGCUGGGUCCUCGUCAAUUCCUUCUACGACCUAGAGGCGCCCAGUUUUGAUUUCAUGGCCAGCGAGCUCGGGCCUCGAUUCAUCCCCGCGGGACCACUGUUCUUGCUCGACAAUUCCAGGAAGAAUGUGGUGCUUCGACCCGAGAACGAGGAUUGCCUUCACUGGAUGGAUGCGCAGGAGCGUGGAUCUGUUCUCUACAUCUCAUUUGGCAGCAUCGCGGUGCUGAGCGUGGAGCAGUUCGAGGAGCUCGCGGGAGCUCUCGAGGCAUCGAAGAAGCCAUUCUUGUGGGUGAUUCGACCUGAGCUGGUGGUGGGUGGUCACUCGAACGAAUCUUACAAUGGGUUUUGCGAGAGGACCAAGAACCAGGGAUUCAUCGUUUCCUGGGCGCCACAGCUGCGAGUUCUCGCCCAUCCCUCCAUGGGAGCGUUUCUCACUCACUGCGGAUGGAAUUCCGUCCAGGAGAGCAUCGCGAAUGGCAUUCCAAUGCUGGGGUGGCCUUACGGGGGCGAGCAAAACACCAACUGUAAGUUUAUAGUGGAGGACUGGAAGAUCGGGGUUAGAUUCUCCAAGACAGUGGUGCAGGGAUUGAUCGAGCGGGGAGAGAUCGAGGCUGGCAUAAGAAAGGUGAUGGAUAGCGAGGAGGGGAAGAAGAUGAAGGAGAGAGUGGAGAACUUGAAGAUCCUUGCGAGGAAAGCUAUGGACAAAGAGAAUGGGAAGUCGUUUCGUGGCCUCCAGGGAUGGCUGGAAGAUCUCAAAGUUAUGAAGCUGGUUCGCGAGUGAGUGAACGAUGCAUUCUUUGAUAAGAAUUUUCUAUCUAUCAGUUCUAAAGAUAAACACAUGCUAGUCAAGUAAAACGCUUGUGCCUGGGAUUUGGAUAAUGUUGGAAAUGGCUGAGUAAACAAACAAAAAUUACUUAACAAAAUUGUUCAGGAAUGUUCUAUUGCUAGUGGCCGACCAUAAGUUACAAUCAAAGCGAAUGGACGUUAAUUAUAUGCUCUAUGUAACAUUUCUUGGUGAGGAAAAAAGCAGAUGCAAAAUAACUGUAAGACUUAGUUAAUUAAAACUAACAUGAAAACGUUUGGAUUUUCGAUGUUUACAACAAAAAACUCUACAAAUGCUUGAGUACAGUAUUGUUGCUCGGAAUCUUUGCUAACUUGCAUUUGCCCAGACCAGGCAUCAUUUCCAGCCAAAGAGAAGACAACGAGCGUUCUCUUGAUCGAUAAUCAUGCACUUAUUUUAGGCUGGACUUAGCCACGGCCAUUUUGUGGACAAGAGCACCACUCAUGAAUUUGAUUGCUCCAAUGUUAAAUGCUCUUACCAUAUUCUCAAAGGCUGGAAGCUUCCCAGCCGCCAGGUGUAGGGACAGAUUUUUGCCACCUUCUCAAGAUUCAUGCGGCAAGUGUCCAUAGGAUCAUUGCUUGUUCAAAUUCAGGAGCUGUAAUGGAUCCGAAGCGAGCUUGCAAUUUGGGUCAAUGUGAGUCUCGUUCUAGAGCAGAAUUGCCUCUCACAACGCUUAUGCUAAUCUUCCUUUUGUAUAAGUUUUGCAGGCCUAGGGUUCGCUCUAUCAACUUGUGUAAACAUCCGUUGCCUUCCCCGCCAAGAAAACCAUUCUAGUAAAUACCAAUGAACCCUGCCAAGGAAACCAUGGCUUCUCGCAAGGUCCAUGUCUUGGCGUUUCCAGCGCCCGCGCAAGGCCAUAUCUCCCCAAUGAUCCAUCUCUGUAAGUUCAUCGCCCAAGAUCCAAGCUUCACAAUCUCCUGGGUCAAUAUCGACAGCCUCCACGACGAGUUCGUCAAGCACUGGGUGGCGCCGGCGGGGCUGGAAGAUCUGCGCCUCCAUUCCAUCCCAUUCUCGUGGAAGCUCCCGCGAGGAGUCGAUGCCAACGUCGCAGGAAAUGUGGGAGACUGGUUCACGGCAGCCGCGCGAGAGCUCCCCGGCGGUCUCGAGGAUUUGAUCCGCAAGCUCGGCGAGGAGGGGGAUCCGGUCAGCUGUAUCGUCUCGGAUUACAUCUGCGAUUGGACCCAGGAUGUGGCGGAUGUGUUUGGGAUCCCCAGGAUCAUUCUUUGGUCGGGCAAUGCGGCAUGGACGAGCUUUGAGUACCACAUUCCAGAGCUUCUGGAGAAAGAUCACAUCUUUCCAAGCAAAGGUACGAAUCUCUGUUCUUCCCUUGUUCUUCCCUUGGAAUUAAGCGUUUCCCCUAUGCUUCCCUUGUAUUUACCCUCUUCUUCCCUUGGAAUACCAUCAAAUUUCCCCUGCUCUUCCUUUGGAAUUAAACCUCCUCUUGUUGACGCAGGGAAAGCUUCCCCGGACGAGGCCAAUUCCGUGAUCAGGGCCAGGAGGUGUUGAAGGAGAUUUGCAUCAAGCGCUCCCCCGUCGUCAAGCGCGCGCGCUGGGUCCUCGUCAAUUCCUUCUACGACCUCGAGGCGCCCACCUUCGAUUUCAUGGCCAGCGAGCUCGGGCCUCGAUUCAUCCCCGUGGGGCCACUGUUCCUGCUCGACGAUUCCAGGAAGAAUGUGGUGCUUCGACCCGAGAACGAGGAUUGCCUUCACUGGAUGGAUGCGCAGGAGCCUGGAUCGGUGCUCUACAUCUCGUUUGGCAGCGUCGCGGUGCUGAGCGUGGAGCAGUUUGAGGAGCUCGCGGGAGCUCUCGAGGCAUCGAAGAAGCCAUUCUUGUGGGUGAUUCGACCUGAGCUGGUGGUGGGUGGUCACUCGAACGAAUCUUACAAUGGGUUUUGCGAGAGGACCAAGAACCAGGGAUUCAUCGUUUCCUGGGCGCCACAGCUGAGAGUUCUCGCCCAUCCCUCCAUGGGAGCGUUUCUCACGCACUGCGGAUGGAAUUCCGUCCAGGAGAGCAUCGCUAAUGGCAUUCCAAUGCUGGGGUGGCCUUAACGGGGCGAGCAAAACACCAACUGUAAGUUCAUAGUGGAGGACUGGAAGAUCGGGGUUAGAUUCUCCAAGACAGUGGUGCAGGGAUUGAUCGAGCGAGGAGAGAUCGAGGCCAGCAUAAGAAAGGUGAUGGAUAGCGAGGAGGGGAAGAAGAUGAAGGAGAGAGUGGAGAACUUGAAGAUCCUUGUGAGGAGAGCUAUGGACAAAGAGAAUGGGAAGUCAUUUCAUGGCCUCCAGGGAUGGCUGGAAGAUCUCAAAGCUAUGAAGCUGGAUUGCGAGUGAGUGAAUGAUGCAUUCUUUGAUAAGAACUUUCUAUCUAUCAGUUCUUAAGAUAAAGACAUGCUAGUCAAGUAAACCGUUUGUGCGGGAUUUGGAUAAUGUCUGAGCAAAUAAACAAAAAUUAUUUGACAUAAUUGCUCAGGAUGCUUUAUUGCUAGUGGUUGACCAUAAGUUAUAAUCAAAGCAAUGGACAUUAUAGUCUUGUGUUCUAUGCAACAUCUCUCGGUGAGGAAAAAAGCAAAUGUAAAAGAACUGUAAGACUAAAAAAUUUUUAUUUUUACAUAAAAAUGUUUGGGAUUGUCAAAAACAAACUUUACAAAUACUUGAGUAUAGUAUUUGAAACGAACAAGAAAGCGAACUCUAGGCUAACCUCCCAACCCUUAAAGGUGUUAUGGCUUUAAAUCCCAUAGGUUAUGGAAUAUUUUUAGAAUAUUUCUAUGUUUCAUGUCAUUCUCCCAUCCCUCAUGACUCAACCACAUACAGCAGCAUUGAGAAGCUAAACGAGCCUCAUAUGAAGGGAAUUCAAGACAAUACGGCCAUAAAAAAAACAUGUGCAAACGGCAACAGAAACAUUGUGACAAGCAGCCAUAAAAGAAAGAAAGCAAUAUGGCUUUCUCACAUGACAAUACGGUUAUGAAAACAAAAGAAUGAGAAUAGAACAAACAACUCAAAUCAUAUAGCAAUACAGUGUAAGUUACAAAUUUUUCCUUUCUAAUUUGUCAACUUACCUCAUCUAUCCGACCAACACUGUUUUAACCUUAGUUAGGUUCCCUCACCAAAGUUUUCGCUUAUUGUACUAACUCCUACUUAGUCUUACUUGGUCCUAUUUGGUUUUAUCUAUUCAUUGCAUGAGCAAUAGAACAUUAGCCAUUUGUUCACAGAUUCCCAAAUUUCUCUCAAUCCCCCUCCCCGAGUUAGACUGGACUUAAGGUUCGACUACACUCCCCGCAAGUAUAAACAGCCAAACACACUAAGCUUCUAAAUUCUUAACAUCCCUUGGUACAACAAGACUUGAUCAUAGGACCUUCUAAAUCCCAAGCCUUGGGUGCAACACUUGCUUCGGGAUGUUGAGGAAAAACACUAUAGCCUAAUGGCCUAGUAUGGGUACCUCUACUCCCCCACUUCCAUCCCGAAGGGAAGACCUAAGCCCCUAAAAAGGGCGAGGAUCAAUGAUCUACAAGGUACUUAAGUGGGGCACCACUUCAUAUGAGCCAGGACCACCAUAGUCAGUUUUCCUUUCGGGAGUGAGAGUUGCUCUUGAGCAUUUCCUUGGUGGCCCAUCCGACACCACCCAAGUCCAUACCCACUCCCACCCAAGGCCCUUUGGUCCCAAUCUCAACCUCAAGUCAGUUUGGAAGCACCACUGGAAAGUUCGUUCAAGAUUGAUUUCUGGACCUCAUUAUUUCUACUAUACUUUUUUGGAACCCCCUUCCUCCUUCAUCCGCGAGAACAAGGCGAGAGCGAGCUCGACCUCGCUGUAGUUACAGUGGCCCAUGAUGAUCGCAGUCCAGGAAACCACGUCGUGGAACUCCAUCUUGUUGAAGACGAUCUUGGCAUACUCCAGGCUUCCACACUUGGAGUACAUAUCCACGAGACCGCUGGAGACGAACACAUCCCCGGAGUACUGGUUCUUGACAAUCUCGGCAUGGAUCACUGCUCCUCUUUCCAAAGUAGCCACCUUGACAAGCCUGCCACCUUCGACCACUGUCCCUUUCUCUCGAGCUGCGACCAUGGAGCAGGCCUGGAGAGCUGCCAGAUAAGUUCUCGCGUUUGGGAGAAGACCAUCUUCCUGGAUCCGCGAGAAGAGCUCGAGAGCUCCCUUGCCAUCGCCGUUCUGGACGUAACCUUUGAUCAUGGUGUUCCACGAGAUGGCAUCACGGAACUGGAUCCCAUCGAAGACCUUGCGAGCAUCCGCGACGAGGCCAAAGUGCGCGUAGCUGUCGAUCAGAGUGUUGGCCACCGACACAUCUCGAUCGUUCUUGGUGGCGACGAGAUCGCUGUGGAGGCUCAUGAGAUCCCAUCUCUCGCUGCAAGCCUUGAUCGCGAGCACGAUCACUGGCACGCACGGCCGGAUCCCACACUGGCGCAUUCUUCCAUAGGUAUCCCGCGCCUUCUCCCCCUCGAGCAGCCGCUUGGUCACGUACACGGGCUUGUCGGCUGUCCGGGACGGCGCCUUGAACCAUUUGAGCGGCGCGAGCUGUGACAGGCGCUGCGUCGCUAGGAUCGGCGAUGGCCGGAAGACCGGCAUUCGAUCGAGAGAGAGGAGACUUACCGCGAUGGCGAUGGCGGCAUUGCUCCUCCCAACAGCCCUAGUUUUAGGGAUUUGUCCCUUUCAUAUAAUUUGCCAGAGAUGGGUAUUUUGGACGAGCAAGCGUUUUACUUGACUAGAUCCAAACGAGCAGUGUUACGUCGUUAGAACUAACUUGAAAAACAUAAAGAAACAAUUUAAAAUAGAUGAUUGAAAGAAAGCUUUAGAGAUGAUAAACUAAAGCUUAAGAGGACAACUGGAACAAUGAAAAGUCGCACUUGCCCGGGAAAGGCAUUUAAAGGUUUCAUAAUAAACACAACUUCUGCAAAAGCUGGUCGAUGUGUACGAUCAAAUGGAAAACAACCAACUGGCUGGACAAGAUUCUCGUGGAUAAAGUGAUGGUUCUAUGGUUAUAAGGUCCGCAUGGAUCAAUUCUCAGAGUGGGAAGAGACCUAAGAAAUCAUGAGAUCCUUGCAAAGUUCUAGCGAUUCUUCCUCCCCCAGUAGCAAGAUCCAUGUCGUGGUCGUUCCCCUGCCCGCGCAAGGCCAUAUGUCCCCAAUGAUCCAUCUCUGCAAGCUCAUCGCUCGAGAUCCAAGCUUCACGAUCUCCUUGGUCAAUGUGGACAGCCUCCACGACGAGUUCGUCAAGCACUGGGUGGCGCCGGCGGGGCUGGAAGAUCUGCGCCUCCAUUCCAUCCCAUACUCGUGGCAGCUCCCGCUAGGAGCCGAUGCCCACGCGCUGGGAAAUGUGGGGGACUGGUUCACGGCAUCCGCGCGAGAGCUCCCAGGCGGCCUCGAGGAUUUGAUCCGCAAGCUCGGCGAGGAGGGUGAUCCGGUCAACUGCAUCAUCUCGGAUUACUUCUGCGAUUGGAGCCAGGAUGUGGCGGAUGUGUUUGGCAUCCCCAGGAUCAUUCUUUGGUCGGGAAACGCGGCAUGGACGAGCUUGGAGUACCACAUUCCAGAGCUUCUGGAGAAAGAUCACAUCUUUCCUAGCAGAGGUACGAAUCUUUGAAUUUACCAUGAACAUUAGUUCUUUCCCUCCGUCCCUUAUUCAAAUUUUGCCUGUUCUUCCCCGAUUCGUGCGCAGGGAGAGCUUCCCCGGAGGAGGCCAAUUCCGUCAUCAUUGACUACGUCCGAGGGGUGAAGCCCCUCCGCCUGGCCGAUGUGCCCGAUUACAUGCAGGGCAACGAGGUGUGGAAGGAGAUUUGCAUCAAGCGCUCCCCCGUCGUGAAGAGCGCGCGCUGGGUCCUUGUCAAUUCCUUCUACGACCUCGAGGCGCCCACCUUCGAUUUCAUGGCCAGCGAGCUCGGGCCCCGAUUCAUCCCCGCGGGGCCACUGUUCUUGCUCGACGAUUCCAGGAAGAACGUGGUGCUUCGUCCGGAGAACGAGGAUUGCCUUGGCUGGAUGGAUGAGCAGGAGCCUGGAUCGGUGCUCUACAUCUCGUUUGGCAGCAUCGCGGUGCUGAGCGUGGAGCAAUUCGAGGAGCUCGCGGGAGCUCUCGAGGCAUCGAAGAAGCCAUUCUUGUGGGUGAUUCGAUCCGAGCUCGUGGUCGGCGGACACUCCAACGAAUCUUACGAUGGGUUUUGCGAGAGGACCAAGAACCAGGGAUUCAUCGUUUCUUGGGCGCCACAGCUGCGAGUUCUCGCCCAUCCCUCCAUGGGAGCGUUUCUCACUCAUUGUGGAUGGAAUUCCAUCCAGGAGAGCAUCACACACGGGAUUCCACUGCUGGGGUGGCCUUACGCGGCCGAGCAAAACACCAACUGUACGUUCAUAGUGGAGGACUGGAAGAUCGGGGUUAGAUUCUCCAAGACCGCGAUGCAGGGAUUGAUCGAGCGAGGAGAGAUCGAGGACGGCAUAAGAAAGGUGAUGGAUAGCGAGGAGGGGAAGGAAAUGAAGGAGAGAGUGGAGAACUUGAAGAUCCUUGCCAGGAAAGCCAUGGACAAAGAGCAUGGGAAAUCGUUUCGUGGCCUCCAAGCAUUCUUGGAAGAUCUCAAAGUUUUGAAGAUCCAUCGCGAGUGAGUGAAAGUUCCAUUUUUUGAAGAGAACUUUAAGAACUUUGUACCAGUGUCCAGUUCUCAAGAUAAUUAAUGUUCCAACUUCUUUGAUCCAUGCCGGUUUCUUCCUCACUGAGAGAUGUGGCAUGAGCAUUGGAAAGCCAGACGCAGAGCGCAGGAGGUGCCAACAUCCCUGCGGCGAUCCUGGCUGCUCGAUCCGACUCCGAGUUGAGAAAUCCGCAGGAUUACCGCGAGGAGAUGGAAUUCCUCGCGAAUGGCCGCUACCAACUGGGGAUAUCUUUAGCGGAACCCCCUGGGAUCACCACAAUGCCCUCUGAUAGACUCUUAGCAUUUGCCAGAUAGGGGUAGUUGACUAGAUGCGAAAGAGCUUCGUUAGAACCUACAUGAAAACGUUUGGAACCAAUAUUAAAGUCGAUGCUUACAAACUUCAGCGCAACAUUGUUGCUCGGAAUCUUUGCGAAGUUGCAUUUGCCCAGACGAGGCAUCAUUUGCGGCCGAAGGGAAGACACCAUUAGCGCGCUGUAGUCAUGCAUUUCUUUAAGAAUCCGGGAUUAGAGAGAUGUCUUAGAGCACUUACUUAAUGUUACAUGCUCUUACCAUGUUUUUCUUCUCUCUUUUGCUCGUCCCAGCCGCCAUGCACGGAAAUAUCUAGAUUUUUCCCAACUUAAAAGAGAUCAAGAUUCAUGUGGCAGUUGUCCAGGCAUGCAAGGGAUCAUUGCCCCAAAUAUCGAUCCAAACUUUACAGUCCCUUAGCUUUUGGAAUUGUGAAACUUAAUCCCAGCGAGGGGAUAAUAAUCCUUGGAACCAUCAUCAGGAUCUUAUUGGCCAAAACACUAAACUACCAAGGAAUCUUUUCCAGAGACGCCUAGUAGUCUAAACAGUUUACGCACAAAUCUUUCCUUGCCAAAAAAAAAUCAUGGCUUCUACCAAGGUCCAUGUCUUGGCGGUUCCAGUGGCCGCCCAAGGCCAUAUCUCCCCAAUGAUCCAUCUCUGCAAGUUCAUCGCUCAAGAUCCAAGCUUCACAAUCUCCGUGGUCAAUAUCGACAGCCUCCACGACGAAUUCAUCAAGCACUGGGCGGCGCUGGAAGAUCUGCGCCUCCAUUCCAUCCCAUUCUCGUGGAAGGUCCCGCGAGGAGUCGACGCCCACGUCGUGCGAAAUCUAGGGGAGUGGUUCGCGGCAGCUGCGCGAGAGCUCCCCGGCGGCCUCGAGGAUUUGAUCCGCAAGCUCGGCGAGGAGGGCGAUCCGGUCAGCUGUAUCGUCUCGGAUUACUUCUGCGAUUGGACCCAGGAUGUGGCGGAUGUGUUUGGCAUCCCCAGGGUCAUUCUUUGGCCGGGCACCGCGGCAUGGACGAGCUUGGAGUACCACAUUCCAGAGCUUCUGGAGAAGGAUCACAUAUUUCCUAGCAGAGGUACGAAUCGCCUAUUUUGAUCAUGAACUUUCCCUGUUCUUCCCUUGGAAUUAAACGUUUUCCCUAUUCUUCCCUUGGAAUUAAACGUUUCCCCUGUUCUUCCAUUGUUUUCCCUGGAAUUACCCUGUUCUUUCCUUGGAAUACCAUCACAUUUCCCCUGUUCUUCCCUUUGGCCCUCUUCUCUUUGGAAUUAACAUCCCCUGUUCUUCCCUUGGACUGAUCGAUUCGUGCGCAGGAAGAGCUUCUGCGGACGAGGCAAAUUCUGUGAUCAUCGAUUACGUCCGAGGAGUCAAGCCGCUCCGCCUGGCCGAUGUGCCCACGUACCUUCAGGGCGACGAGGUGUGGAAGGAGAUUUCUAUCAAGCGCUCCUUCGUCGUGAAGCGCGCGCGCUGGGUCCUCGUCAAUUCCUUCUACGACCUAGAGGCGCCCAGUUUUGAUUUCAUGGCCAGCGAGCUCGGGCCUCGAUUCAUCCCCGCGGGGCCACUGUUCUUGCUCGACGAUUCCAGGAAGAAUGUGGUGCUUCGACCCGAGAACGAGGAUUGCCUUCACUGGAUGGAUGCGCAGGAGCGUGGAUCUGUUCUCUACAUCUCAUUUGGCAGCAUCGCGGUGCUGAGCGUGGAGCAAUUCGAGGAGCUCGCGGGAGCUCUCGAGGCAUCGAAGAAGCCAUUCUUGUGGGUGAUUCGACCUGAGCUGGUGGUGGGUGGUCACUCGAACGAAUCUUACAAUGGGUUUUGCGAGAGGACCAAGAACCAGGGAUUCAUCGUUUCCUGGGCGCCACAGCUGAGAGUUCUCGCCCAUCCCUCCAUGGGAGCGUUUCUCACGCACUGCGGAUGGAAUUCCAUCCAGGAGAGCAUUUCGAAUGGCAUUCCAAUGCUGGGGUGGCCUUACGGGGGCGAGCAAAACACCAACUGUAAGUUUAUAGUGGAGGACUGGAAGAUCGGGGUUAGAUUCUCCAAGACAGUGGUGCAGGGAUU